rnacentral:rRNA from 1 species
AGCGAACGCUGGCGGCAGGCCUAAUACAUGCAAGUCGAGCGCACCUUCGGGUGAGCGGCGGACGGGUGAGUAACGCGUGGGAACGUGCCCUUUGGUACGGGAUAACUGAGGGAAACUUCAGCUAAUACCGUAUGUGCCCUACGGGGGAAAGAUUUAUCGCCAUUGGAGCGGCCCGCGUUGGAUUAGCUAGUUGGUGGGGUAAAGGCUCACCAAGGCUACGAUCCAUAGCUGGUCUGAGAGGAUGAUCAGCCACACUGGGACUGAGACACGGCCCAGACUCCUACGGGAGGCAGCAGUAGGGAAUCUUGCGCAAUGGGCGAAAGCCUGACGCAGCCAUGCCGCGUGAAUGAUGAAGGUCUUAGGAUUGUAAAAUUCUUUCACCGGGGAAGAUAAUGACGGUACCCGGAGAAGAAGCCCCGGCUAACUUCGUGCCAGCAGCCGCCGUAAGAC